rnacentral:rRNA from 1 species
GAGAGGGGCAUCCCUUUUGUACCAAAGGAGCAAUCCGCUGAAAGAUGGGCUCAUGACUGAUUAGUUAGUUGGCAGGGCAACGGCCUACCAAGACUGCGAUCAGUAGCCGGACUGAGAGGUUGAACGGCCACAUUGGGACUGAGAUACGGCCCAGACUCCUACGGGAGGCAGCAGUGGGGAAUAUUGGGCAAUGGGCGAAAGCCUGACCCAGCAACGCCGCGUGAAGGAAGAAGGUCUUCGGAUUGUAAACUUCUUUUAUGAGGGACGAAGGACGUGACGGUACCUCAUGAAUAAGCCACGGCUAACUACGUGCCAGCAGCCGCGGUAAUACGUAGGUGGCGAGCGUUAUCCGGAUUUACUGGGUGUAAAGGGCGCGUAGGCGGAUCAGCAAGUCAGAUGUGAAAUCCAUGGGCUUAACUCAUGAACUGCAUUUGAAACUGUUGAUCUUGAGUGCUGGAGAGGUAGAUGGAAUUCCUAGUGUAGCGGUGAAAUGCGUAGAUAUUAGGAAGAACACCGGCGGCGAAGGCGGUCUACUGGACAGUAACUGACGCUGAGGCGCGAAAGCGUGGGGAGCAAACAG